rnacentral:rRNA from 1 species
GAGUUUGAUCGUGGCUCAGAUUGAACGCUGGCGGCAUGCCUUACACAUGCAAGUCGAACGGCAGCAUGAUCUAGCUUGCUAGAUUGAUGGCGAGUGGCGAACGGGUGAGUAAUACAUCGGAACGUGCCCUGUAGUGGGGGAUAACUAGUCGAAAGAUUAGCUAAUACCGCAUACGACCUGAGGGUGAAAGUGGGGGACCGCAAGGCCUCAUGCUAUAGGAGCGGCCGAUGUCUGAUUAGCUAGUUGGUGGGGUAAAGGCCCACCAAGGCGACGAUCAGUAGCUGGUCUGAGAGGACGAUCAGCCACACUGGGACUGAGACACGGCCCAGACUCCUACGGGAGGCAGCAGUGGGGAUUUGGACAUGGGCGAAAGCCUGAUCCAGCAAUGCCGCGUGUGUGAAGAAGGCCUCGG